rnacentral:rRNA from 1 species
UGCCCUAGUAACGGCGAGUGAAGCGGCAACAGCUCAAAUUUGAAAUCUGGCUUCGGCCCGAGUUGUAAUUUGCAGAGGAUGUUUAUGGUGCGGUACCUUCCGAGUUCCCUGGAACGGGACGCCACAGAGGGUGAGAGCCCCGUCUGGUUGGAUACCAAACCUGUGUUAAACUCCUUCAACGAGUCGAGUAGUUUGGGAAUGCUGCUCUAAAUGGGAGGUAAAUCUCUUCUAAAGCUAAAUACCGGCCAGAGACCGAUAGCGCACAAGUAGAGUGAUCGAAAGAUGAAAAGCACCUUGAAAAGGGGGUUAAACAGUACGUGAAAUUGUUAAAAGGGAAGCGUUUAUGACCAGACUUGUGUCGUGUGGCUCAUCCGAGGUUCUCCCCGGUGCACUCCACACGGCUCAGGCCAACAUCGGUUCUCGUUGGGGGAUAAGAACAGUAGGAACGUGGCCCUCUUCGGAGGGUGUUAUAGCCUGCUGUACGAUACCCUGAUGGGGACCGAGGACCGCGCUUCGGCUAGGAUGUUGGCGUAAUGGUCAUUAGCGACCCGUCUUGAAACACGGACCAAGGAGUCGUCCAUUAGAGCGAGCGUUUGGGUGUAAAACCCGCACGCGUAAUGAAAGUGAAAUUAGGUGAGAGCUUCGGCGCAUCAUCGACCGAUCCUGAAGUUUACGGAUGGAUUUGAGUAAGAGUUUUAACGGACGGACCCGAAAGACAGUGAACUAUGCUUGAAUAGGGUGAAGCCAGAGGAAACUCUGGUGGAGGCUCGCAGCGGUUCUGACGUGCAAAUCGAUCGUCAAAUUUGAGCAUGGGGGCGAAAGACUAAUCGAACUGUCUAGUAGCUGGUUACCGCCGAAGUUUCCCUCAGGAUAGCAGUGUUGACCUUCAGUUUUAUGAGGUAAAGCGAAUGAUUAGGGACUCGGGGGCGCUUAUUAGCCUUCAUCCAUUCUCAAACUUUAAAUAUGUAAGAAGCCCUUGUUACUUA